UACGAAGGGGGCUAGCGUUGCUCGGAAUCACUGGGCGUAAAGGGUGCGUAGGCGGGUCUUUAAGUCAGGGGUGAAAUCCUGGAGCUCAACUCCAGAACUGCCUUUGAUACUGAGGAUCUUGAGUUCGGGAGAGGUGAGUGGAACUGCGAGUGUAGAGGUGAAAUUCGUAGAUAUUCGCAAGAACACCAGUGGCGAAGGCGGCUCACUGGCCCGAUACUGACGCUGAGGCACGAAAGCGUGGGGAGCAACAGGGAUUAAGAUA
rnacentral:rRNA from 1 species